AGAAAAAAACCACGGUUAAGUGUCUCACCUGUGUUCAGUGUCUGCCCUGCUGAUGGCCACCAGCCCUGCUGGCCUGCAUCUCUGGGAAUAACACGUCCUACCCACAGUCCACCUGAAUGAUGUCGCAGCCAGCGGGACGGACCCCCAUGUCCAGUGCAGCUCACAGCUUCCUCUGGCCCUCUCCAUGGCUACAGAAAACUGGGACCACUCCUAGCUUUGCCCUCAAGGCUCCAACCUCUUCUGCCAGCUUGGGCACUAUCACUUAUGAGCACUCAAGCAAGAGAAGACAUUUUUUAUUUGCUUGAUAAAUACUAUGGUUAAAUAAAUCAAAAAAGUUACUUGAAGAGAUUUAGCAGCCUCCUAACAUCGCUGAAACAUCUAAUCUAUCAAGAGCCUAAUGCUUGUUGCACUGAGGAUCCUGGGGAGGCUGGAGGAGCCGCCGGCAGCCGGUGAGAUGCCGCAGCAGUGGCACCAGGUCCCACGGGCGCAGCAGCACUGAGUGAUAAGGGCCAGCGGGAUAAUGAUGUUGUGUGUUGCGGGGCCGAGAUAACUCGAGGACUUCGAGCCUCAUAUAAUACAGGAAUUUUUCACUCUGGCAGCUUCGUAAACAAGAUAUCAAGGAGCCGUUGUUUAAAUUAAAGCCGUAAAAACAGCCAGCGUAGAGGCACAGGAACUGGAAGACACUGAGUCCUAGCACCAGGCUCUAGAGAGAGAAAAGGUGUGUGGAAGCUUGAGACGGCUGAGCCCGACAACCCAGGACUCUGCCGGGGUCAGCAGUCAUCACUGUCACCCUGAGCAGCCUGGAGCUGAGGUCGGCAGGCUAGCAUGCAUUCUUAAGAGGUGGCCACUUCACAGGCCACCACUGCUAGUGUUGCCUUUAUCCAGAAAAGGCCGUAAGAGCAGAAUUGGGGGAAACCUCUUGACUAGUCCAAACACGUCCCAAACACUACAGAGGCCACAAACACAUCUGCUGUGCUCCUCAGGGGUCAGGAUGUGAGCAUAUAUACACACAGGCUCAGCUAUCAUGUCCAACAGCAGAGGAGCCCAAGACAGUCACCAGAUGAGUUCAAGAGCUAUGGAAAGAAAGCUAGGGAGGAUGUCCCCUGCUCUGCUCCAGCAGCCAGCUACAUGACUCAAGGACUCGUGACCUCGGGCCAACAGCAAAAAUGGCUGCUCAGGAGUCCUUCUGGAACGACAAGAGGGACUGGGAUAUAUGCACAUCAGUGGCAGGGCAUGUUCUCAGCAUGCAUAGGGUCCUAGGUCCCAUUCCCAGGUCUGCCAACUCCAGAGAGAUACAAAGACUGAAGGGCAGAGGCUGGCAAGGGGAGGGCCAGCAUCAUCUCUUUGCUGGUUGGAUCUGUGGCUUGGCUUCCUUCCAUAAUACCAGGAAUAUCUGCUCUCACUGUCUCUAGAACAGGCCAGAGAAAUUGUGGGUGCUCCUACCUCAGCUGUUUGGAAACAGGCGGCUCACGGAUGAUAUCUUUAAUCAUUUAAUAACCUAUAGGGAUGUUUGUGAGGUGUCAGCACCAGGGGCACCCUGCACCCAUUAAGUUGAGCUUGUUUAUGUGAAACCUACCUACCUUAACUCCAGCAGAAGGCUGAGGGGAUCCCUGGAGCCACUAAGGCCAAAGCGAGACCCAGACAGGUAGCCACGGAGAGCAGCCUGAAGACUGACCUGAGGAGGCCUGUCGGUCACAGUACCAGUAUGAGGGGAGGCAGAGUGCUUCAGAGGAGCUUCACCUGGAGCUCCAAGGUGAGCUUCUCCGGAGGGGCCCAGCUCCACCACUUAGUUAUCACAAAGCUGUUGUCAAAGACCUUAGAGGCUGACCAUGAAGCAGCUGAGGAUGAUGGUGCCCUAUCCCGUCACAAUCUCACAGAAUGCAUGUGAUAAUUUUGCAAAGCAAGGAGAUGGUCUUCUUUGUCACCAUCUCAACGGAACCUGAGUGACAAUGCCUCAAAACCAAAGCCAAGCCCUUGUCAACAGCCAGGAGAGGAAGCCUGCCAACCUGCCAGGCCUGUGCCAGCUGCCUGAUGGGACAGACACAUGCUGGGCAGACACUGGUGCCCUACAGGCCAGCCCAGCUGCAGCCAUGGGGGCUUAGUAGCUGUGGGCCUCUGCAUCAGGCCAUCCUAACACGGGUGGCCGUCAGCCUCCCUAACAUCUUGAGCCUAGUCACAACUGCAAAAGCUACCACAGCUGACUAAAAUAAGAAAGAAUAAGGCAUGCCACUUUAAUUGUUAAUUUCAAAAUAUGUCGUUUUAGGGCUGGCAACACAGUUCAGUAGGUAAAGGUGCUUGCUUACAAGCCCAACAGUCUGAGUUUAGUUCCCAGAACCUAUACGGUGCAGAGAGAACCACAAGUGUGCGAUGCUAAGGGAGUGUGAGAAUGCGCACACAGACACACAAAAAGGAAGGAAGAAGAAAAAGGGAUGCAAGCAAGAAAGAAAAAAACAUUCAAACAUCUAUUUUGAAAUCUUUCCAAUGCAGUUUAGUAUCAGUGUAUAUUUAUUAUAAAAAAUAAAUGGAAGAUGCACAGCAGCACAGGAUAAACUCGAAACCUACUAAGGAAAACAAGCCAGACACCAAAGGACAAUGGGUGACAAACUGCACUCCAGGAAACUAAGUGGCCACAUCCACAGAAGGAAGUCAGAGGCUGCUGCGGUCGUCUACUGCGGUCGACUGCAGUCUGAACGGGAAGAUGGGACUGGAUGCGCAAGGGCUACAGGAGUCCUGUUUUUGGAGUGAGGGAAAGGUUCUGGUGGAAACCGGCUGGUGGACAGCUCAGUGGUUGAGGACACUGGUUGCUUUUAAAGAGGACCUGUUGUUUGGUUCCCAGCACCCAUAUGGUGGCUCACAACUGUCUGUAACUGCAGUUCCAGGGGAUCCAGUGCCCUCUUCUGGCCUCCACAGGCUCCUGCAUGCAUGUGGUGCACAGACACAGGGAGGCAAGACAUUUAUAUACGUAAAUAAAAAUAAAUGAGUCUGUAAAAAAGUUUUGGAAACACAGAUAGUAGUGAUGGUUGCAUCACUCACUACUACAUACGUCAAUGCAACCUUUAGCACUGGGGUGUGCUCAGCAAUGGCCUGCCUUGUAAGCAUGGCACCCUAGGUUUGAUGCCCAGCACCACAUAAGACUGAGUGUGGUGUACAAGCCUGUAUUACUACACUACCAUGCCUCAGGAGGAUCAAGAGUUCUAGGUUACCAUCAGCUAUACAAGGAAUCCGAGGCCAGCAACACUUUUUUUAAAUAAUAAGGGAGAAUUGUAAAAUAUGAAGUUUUAUCAGGAUUCAAAUCACAGUACUUACAAUAGUUACCAUCUUUUCAAGAAAAGUAACUUUUAACAAUGGUAUUUAAAUUUUUGUUACUAAAUUCCCUUUCAAUUCUUCUUAGAGUGUAUUUGGGAGGGUUUUUUUGGGAAGGUGGAGUCUCAGGACAUCUAAAAAUCUCAACUCUGCCAUGUUGAAAUAGUCCAAGAACAAAAAUAUUCAGAAUUCCACAGCCUCAUUAUAAAUCAUCUUGGAUUCAUACAUAAUAAAAGCAUAAGAAAUUUAAUGGAAAAAGGUAUGUGAGAAAUGAAGCGCCCCUCCAGCAGCCCUGAAAAGAACAGAACUUACAUGAGUGUGGUUACUGAGCUUCUUAUGGUUGAGUUCAUAAAGCUAAAACUUACACCAAAAGACCACUCAGAAGCUAUUAAGUGUUGUAGAAUAUUACUAAAAGAUGUGUUACAUUUGUUUAUGCUGUGGAAUAUCUGUUCAAUGAUGCAAAGAUGUGUUAUUGUGCCUGUCUAAAACACCUGAUUGGGCUAACAAAGAGCUGAGCAGUCAAUAGUAAGGCGGGAGAAAGGAUAGGCAGGGCUGGCAGGGAGAAAGAAUAAAUAGGAGGGGAAAUCUGGGGGAGGAGCAAGAAAAGGAGAAGGACAUCUGGGGCCAGCCACCUAGCUACACAGCAAGCCACAGAGAAAGAAGGAAGGAAAAGAUAUACAGAAAUAGAGUAAGGUAAAAGUGUAAUCACAUGUUUCCUGUUCCACCUGCAUGUUCCCAAAUACCUGGCAGCCACUUCCUAAAUAACUGACUCAGAGGCUUACUAUUAUUUAUGAAUGGUCAGCUGAUAGCUCAGGCUUGUUACUAGCUAACUCUUACACUUAAAUUAACCCAUAUUUUUAUUUAUGCUUUGCCACAUGGGUCAUGGCUUGUUACUUCAUUUUCUACAUGCCCUGCUUGUCCUAUGGGAGCUUGCUGUCUCCCCCAAACUCUCCUGACUCUGCCCUUCUUCCUUCCAUCAUUCUCUCUGCAUCAGGCUGCCUCUCGCCCAAUCUCUUCUUGCCCUGCUACCGGCCAAUCAGUUUUCUUAAUUAACAAUGAGCAUUAUCCACAGCAUUAAAAGCCUAGAGGCAAAAAGUAGAUGGGAUAAUUUAAGUUAAGAAAAGCUGGCAAGAAACAAGCCAAAGCUAAGGCCAGGCAUUUAUAAGAAAGAAUAAAACUCUGUGUGAUUUAUUUGGUAGUUGGGUGGUAGGCUCCCCUAAGAGCCAAAGAGUAUUAAAAAAAAAAAUCAACAACAAUUAAGGACUGCCAAGUACUAUUUAAUCAUCCAA